ACGGGUGAGUAACGCGUGGGAACGUGCCUUCCGGUUCGGAAUAACCCUGGGAAACUAGGGCUAAUACCGGAUACGCCCUUAUGGGGAAAGGUUUACUGCCGGAAGAUCGGCCCGCGUCUGAUUAGCUAGUUGGUGGGGUAACGGCCUACCAAGGCGACGAUCAGUAGCUGGUCUGAGAGGAUGAUCAGCCACACUGGGACUGAGACACGGCCCAGACUCCUACGGGAGGCAGCAGUGGGGAAUAUUGGACAAUGGGCGCAAGCCUGAUCCAGCCAUGCCGCGUGAGUGAUGAAGGCCUUAGGGUUGUAAAGCUCUUUUAUCCGGGACGAUAAUGACGGUACCGGAGGAAUAAGCCCCGGCUAACUUCGUGCCAGCAGCCGCGGUAAUACGAAGGGGGCUAGCGUUGCUCGGAAUCACUGGGCGUAAAGGGCGCGUAGGCGGCGUUUUAAGUCGGGGGUGAAAGCCUGUGGCUCAACCACAGAAUGGCCUUCGCUACUGGGACGCUUGAGUAUGGUAGAGGUUGGUGGAACUGCGAGUGUAGAGGUGAAAUUCGUAGA
rnacentral:rRNA from 1 species